GUUCACCAAUAAACGCUGGAAUAUUCCCCUCAGCUACAAGUGAAGACGAGCAUCAAACCAUCAGGAAGAGCUUACACAACACAGAGUUUAUUGAAGGACAGUGAGAACAUGAGAUCCAGAACACUGCAGAAUGAAACAUACUGAAGAACAAAGAGGUUCUGAGUGCCUGACAACUGUGAGCUGAUAACGGGCUGCGC